UAAUAUUGAUACAACAUUUAAUUUGUGAAGACAAUUCUCUCAUUUGUGGAUUAAUUGGUUGGUAAGGUGAUGACAGAAUAUUAUUGAUGGUGAAAUUGGAUUCCUCUGAUAGAAUAAAAUCUGUACUGACUGUGUUACAGUGAAGAUGAAAUUGUUUGUAUUGAUAACAAAAGAUGAAACCUAGGAUUUUAGGCUUGUCUGCAGGAAGCUUUAGGUUUGUUUCACUCUACCAUUUAUAUGUUACAGUGACUUCUAAUAAAUACUGUUGAUUUCAAGUCUAUUAAGAUAAUCUAUUAUCAUAUUAUUUAUUUUAAAAUUUGUAAUUUCUGUCAAGAUUUUAUCUUUAAAAAAUAUUUUAGUAAGUUAAUUUUUAACUUGAUCUUGACUUGAUUUUCAUCAUAUUCGUCAAUUUGAUUAAAGUUCAAAACUAAUUUCAUUUCUUUAUUGAUUGAUACAUGUGUUUUAAUUAUAAAUAUUUAUUUUAUUUUUUAUUUAUUAAAUGAAUAUUUUUUCUAAAAUUUCCUUUAACCGUCCGAAAUUGGAUCUUGAAAAUAGAAAAGAAAUGAAAAACUAAAGGGAAGUUAUAUAGCUAAGGUAACUAAUAACUAAGGAUAGGCAAAAAAAAAUUAUGCAUCCUUUGGUUUUCACCUACAUCUGGUUGGAGUUUAAUGAAGUUUGUGUGGUGAAGUUAUUGAAGUUUGUGUGUUGAAGUUAUUGGUGUUUCUUAGUUUGGUGGUUGGUUGUUGUCGAGAUUGGUGGUCUUCGUCGGUGAUGGUUCACUGGUGGUGCUAAUGAGAAGUAGUGGUGUGGUGGUGGUAGUAAGUGGUUGAUUUUUAAUUUUAGAUUAUGAAACUUAUUACAAUCGAUGGAGAUAAAUAUUCUUUGUAUGAUGUGGUGCAUUAAAUGGAGUGCACGCAAUGAAAAAAAGGGAGGUUCUAAUGAAUACUAAUUGCAAAUGAAAAAGAGACACUGACUUAUAAAAUAAAAAAAUAAAAAAAUUAUUUACUAGUGCAUUAGAUAGUAAAAUACAUUAUGUAUAUAGAAGGAAAAGACUAAGAUCUUACUGGAAAAAAAAAGUUGGACGAAACAAACAAAGUCCAAUAACUUAAAACAGAAAAACUAAAUAUGUUACAAAAAUAAUAGUAUGGAUUUGUUAGAAGAUUUUUUCUAUUUGAAAAUAUCUUAUGAAUUAUAUAAUUCAUAUUGCAUUAAAAAAACACAUUUCAGAUUAUAUGAAAAAUAUUUUUAAAUAUAAAAUAUCUUUUGAAUUGUAUCAUUUAAGAAGAUAUUUUAUGAAUUCUAUUACUUAAAUAUUAUUUUUAGAUUUACGAAUAUAUUGUAAAGUAUGUUUUUCCUUGUAAUUCAUUUCAAGAUGUAUAAUCCAAAAUGUGUACAACAAAAUUAAUAAAAAUCAGAUCGUAUAAUUCAUAAUAUUUCUGAAUCACCGAAUUUAAAAUGAAAUAAGACAAAAAAAACUUCAAAAUCAAAUUCUGUUUCUGGUGUAAUUAACCAUGACUCUCCAAUACAUAUACGAAAAAUUUAAAGAGGAGAGCAAAAAGCUCCAAAGACUAUGCCUUCCGAGAGAUACUGUAGUCAAUUCAUUAUGAGGUGAGAGCACUAUUUUAGUAAACUUGCUACUUUGGUUUUAUGGUUGCUCAAAAACUUAGUGAUGAGAGAAAAAAAUCUCAUUGGACAGACCAAAAUACAUAAAAAUUGAAUUUAUUAGGAGGGGAGGGAAGGAGAUUUCAAUAUAUUUAUUCAGGAAUCUUAUUUCGAAGUGAACUUUAGGUUUAAUUCAAGAUCUAAUUCAAUCAUAUAAAACCGACUUAUGAGGUUGAGGUUUGCAUCAAUUUACGUACAAUGAAAUGUACAACUUAUGGGAUCUCCAACACACCCUGCCGAACAGCUCAUGACACUAUAGGCCCAACAAACACUCGUAAGGAUAGGAUCGAAAUGACUCUAUAUCAUAUUAGAAAGUGGACUCUAAUUUAGUUAAUAUAAUAAUAUAAUAAUUAAUUAUUUUAGUUUUUAAAAUUGAUUUCUAUUUAAUGUUUUGGUAUCUAAAAUUGUUUUUGUUUAGUGUUUUGUACUCUAAAAUUAGUUUAUUGAAAAAGAAUAUGGAAGGGACAUAGUUGGGUGGCUAAAGAAAUGAUGAGAAUCUAGUUCUUGAUGAUGUAUACCCAGAAUAAUGGAUAAAAGCACGCAAAGGAGAGGUGAACGGUGAAAAAUGUCAACACUCAGCAUUUUCAACAGACAGUGGGAAUGGAUUCCUCGUUUGGCUUCUUUUUAUCAAUUAAAAAGUAUGUAACGUUGGUGCUGAGAUUGCUAAUUAUCAAACCAAGGAAACGCAUGAACAAAGGUCAAAACUAUGCAGUGGUUCUUAUUGGUUGCUUGAUUUUUGUAUAGAGAAAAUGGAUGGUAGAAAUAGAAGUAGAGAAAGGAGAAAGGGUGUUCCUUUUCCUUCAAACACUGAUACAACUCGUUUCCUUGUUUCCACAAGGAUUAAUAGUUCAAGGCGUUUCGGGGAAGACAGUGUUAUCUGCAAUGGUUGCAAACACGAGUUUAUAUUAGCAAAUAUUCCAAAUGCAUACCGUUGCUACAAAUGUGGAACAGUAAGCAAUUCAUCUUCUUCAGUUUCUGAGCAAUCAAGCAAAGACCGUGGAUCUUUCAAACGCGAUCAUCUGCAGAACAGUUAUAACAGAAACUCAAAUGAAACUUUACCCAGAAGAUUAUCUCCUUCAUCUAGUUCUUCCUUCUCCUUCUCCACACCAACUCACAAACGCGCUGUUUUAUGUGGAGUUUCAUACGGGAAAGGGACAUUCAAGCUCGAAGGAUCCAUUAAUGAUGUCAAUAACAUGAAAAAUCUACUGCUUGAUAAAUUUAAAUUCCCAAAUGAGUGCAUACGUGUCCUCUCAGGUAUCUCCUUCAGUUCUUCUCUGAUUAGUAUGUGCAUUUUAUGAUCCACAUCCUUUUCAAUUUUAUUUACUUUUAUAUGCUUCCUUUUUGCUUGAAUGCAUACAAAAUUAUAUACAUUAUUUAUGUGACUAUGUAGGACUAUUUAUUACAGUAGAUGAGGAUGAAUAAUUUCUGUAUUGAAAGCCUAAGUGUUAUGCUAUUGCCUGAACUUUUGUGAAAGGCAAAAUUUCCAAUGAAGAUUCUUGUUCUCAUUAACAAGUAAUGUUUCAACAUAUCUACUUUCAUAAGAUCUUGAGUUUUCCUUGUUGUAUGAGUGUUGAACAAUUAUAGAAGUGUGAGCUUUAGCAGUGCAGUGAAAGAUAGAGAUUAAUUUUAUUUCAGAACUUGUAAAUUUCAGAAGAAACGAAGGAGCUGAAUUUAAUUCCAACAAAAAAGAAUAUACUGGAUUCUUUAAAGUGGCUAGUGAGUGAGUGUCGGUCAGAAGGUUCAUUGGUGUUCUACUUCUCCGGACAUAGUAUGCAACAACCGGAACAACAAAAAGGAGAUGAAUCUGACGGACUUGAUGAAACUAUUUGUCCUGUUGAUUAUCUGAGAGAGGGAACGAUCACUGACAAUGAAAUAAAUUCUAUCAUUGUUGAACCACUUAAGAAAGGUGUCAAACUUCAUGCUAUUAUUGAUACUUGUCAUAGUGGAACAACACUUGAUCUUGGCUACAUGUGGAAAAAAGAUAAGUAAGUAUAUACACACUACUACAAUAAAAUUAUUAAUAAAAAAUCAAUUUUAGAGAAAAAAUAAUAAUUAAUCUUUAUAUUAAUAAAAUUAAAUACUAGUUUAAAAAUUAAAAAAAUAUUAUUAUUAUUUAAAUUAGUUUUUAUUAUUGAUUAAUAAUUUUUAAAUUAAUAUCUAAUUAGAUAUAACUUUAGAAUCUAAAUAAUUAAUAACUAAAAUUUAUUUAAUUAAUUAAAUACUAAUUUAAAAAUUAUUUAAUCUUAUUUUUGUGUUUCAAACUCUUGAGUUUGUUCUUGCAGAAGCAUUUGGAAUUGGAAGGUAAACAGAACAAGGCGUAUUAAAAGAACAAGUGGUGGAGUUGCUAUUUGCCUCAGUGCCUGUGAAGAUAGUCAGGUGGUUGCUGAUGGCGCAGUAAGAAUCAUAUUUUCAUGUCUUCCCUCUCACCAACUGCAAUUCAAUAAAAACUAAUCUAGAUUCAUAUAUUCAAUUUUAUUAAAAAAUAAAUUUUAAUUUAAUUUAAUGUUAUAAAACUUCUUUAUAAGAUGGUAUUCACACCUAUUUACAUAUUAUAAUAUUAUUAUCUCGAUAUAAAAUUUAAUCCUAAAUUAUCACCUUUGCAGACUUUUGGAAACAAGUAUAACAGUAUUAUGACGUAUAUUUUCUCAAAAAUAAUGAGAGAUCAUCCUCAAAUAACAUACGGCAAUUUACUAGAAAAACUAUACGAGGAAAUUGGACAGAUUCACCAAAGCAAAUUCGAUAACAGCUUCUUGAGACGGCUUUUUCAUCGCAAAAUAGAUCAGGUAUACUUCACUUCCUUUACGAAUAUUUUGUUUAUCAGUUAUUCAAUAAGCACUUGUUAAUUUAGAUACCACCUAUAUAGAUAUAUGUAUAAUUUUUAAAAUGUAAAAUACAAAAAUAUGUAUAAUUUAUAAAACGUAAAAUACAGAAACAUUGAUUUAUAUAUUAUAUAAUUAUGAUUUAUAUAAAUUUAAUAAAAAUUUAUUUGCACAAAUAUAUUUAAGUUAUUUUAGUAGAAAGAUGUUUUUUAUGCAAAAGAAUUUGUUUAUAAUUUUUAUAAUUAUAAUAAAAAUUUAUAUAAUAAAUUUAAGUUUUUAAAAAAUUAAUGUAUUUUUUUUUAAAUUGUGUUAGGAUUAUAAAAAUUUUAAUAAAUAUUUUUUAAAUUUAAUACUUUAGAUAUAUAUUUUAUGAAUGUCGUAUGAAUAUACGUUGUUCACGGACAUACCAAGCCUCAUAGUUAGCAGCAACCAGCCAUUGGCAAUCCAUUAUUUUACCUCAUAAAUGCUUUUUUUUUUUUCCUAAGAGAGUGAAAUGGCUGGUAUAAUCUUAAGAAAUAACGUUUUAGUGGAUUUUAUGGUUACAAUGUAGAAGAUAAACUCAAACCAUUGAAAGAAAUUUAUUGUGUUUUCAUUGCAGGACCCUAUUUUAUCAUCGUCGGAUGAUUUUGAUAUUGCUACAACAACAUUUAAUUUGUGAAGACAAUUAUCUGAUUUGUGGAUUGGUUGGAUGAGAAAAUAUUAUUGGCUAUUGAUUAUAGGUAUCUCAUGACAGAAGAAAUAAUUGAUGAUGAAAUUGGAUUCCUCUCAUAGAAUAAAAUUUGUACUGAUUGUGUUACAGUGAAGAUGGAAUUGUUUGUAUCGACAACAAAAGAUAAAACCUAGGAUUUUAGGCUUGUCUGCAGGAACUACCAAUUUCUAUGUCACAGUCACUUCUAAUAAUACACCUUUACUUCUAAAACAAAUACUAUAAUGAAGUUUUCAUGAUUUUGAUUUCUUACUC
rnacentral:lncRNA from 1 species